AGUCGAGCGAGCUCGCCUAUAGAAAUUCUUCGGAAUGGACAUAGAUACAAGCUAGCGGCGGAUGGGUGAGUAACGCGUGGGUAACCUGCCCUUAAGUCUGGGAUACCAUUUGGAAACAGAUGCUAAUACCGGAUAAAAGCUACUUUCGCAUGAAAGAAGCUUAAAAGGCGGCGUAAGCUGUCGCUAAAGGAUGGACCUGCGAUGCAUUAGCUAGUUGGUAAGGUAACAGCUUACCAAGGCGAUGAUGCAUAGCCGAGUUGAGAGACUGAUCGGCCACAUUGGGACUGAGACACGGCCCAAACUCCUACGGGAGGCAGCAGUAGGGAAUCUUCCACAAUGGACGAAAGUCUGAUGGAGCAACGCCGCGUGAGUGAAGAAGGUUUUCGGAUCGUAAAGCUCUGUUGUUGGUGAAGAAGGAUAGAGGUAGUAACUGGCCUUUAUUUGACGGUAAUCAACCAGAAAGUCACGGCUAACUACGUGCCAGCAGCCGCGGUAAUACGUAGGUGGCAAGCGUUGUCCGGAUUUAUUGGGCGUAAAGCGAGCGCAGGCGGAUUGAUAAAUCUGAUGUGAAAGCCUUCGGCUCAACCGAAGAACUGCAUCAGAAACUGUCAAUCUUGAGUGCAGAAGAGGAGAGUGGAACUCCAUGUGUAGCGGUGGAAUGCGUAGAUGUAUGGAAGAACACCAGUGGCGAAGGCGGCUCUCUGGUCUGUAACUGACGCUGAGGCUCGAAAGCAUGGGUAGCGAAC
rnacentral:rRNA from 1 species